AGUUCGCUUCGCUCGUGUGCAGCAGAAAUCCUUUUGCGCCGGGGUUCGGCGCAGAAGAUUAGAGCGGAUAGCGGGAAAAGCU
rnacentral:sRNA from 1 species